rnacentral:lncRNA from 1 species
UUUUUUUUUUUUUUUAGGGCCACACUUGCAGCAUAUGGAAGUUCCCAGGCUAGGGACUGAAUUGGGGUUACAGCUGCUGACCUACCCACAGCCACAGCAAUGCUGGAUCCGAUCUGUGUCUUCGACCUAUACCACAGCUCACAGCAAUGCAGGAUCCUUAACCCACUGAGCAAGGCCAGGGAUCAAAUACGUAUCCCCAUGGAUCCUAGUUGGGAUCGUUAACUGCUGAGCCACCAGGGAAACUCUUAGUGUGUCACUAUUUUAAUUGGUGAAUAUGACAUAUAGACAGGGGUGCCCCUGUUGGGAGUCAUCAACCAAGCUUUUGUAUCACAAGACCUAAACUCCCUUAGGAGGAAAGGAGAGUGUUACUGGAGUCUCUCUUACAUUGGGGGUCAAAUCCAUUCACAUCUGUUUCCCAUCUCUAUGGAAACAGGAUUGAAAUGCAGAGCCAAGUGCUCAGAAACCCUGGGUCUGAGGCAGAAUGCUCCCACCUGUUCUCAGCUGCCAUGAGUACUGCUGAACAGCGGACGGUCAAGGCCGCACCGCCACGUGUGUGUGCAGAGCACACACUCCAGGCAGCUGGGGCUGGUGACAAGCGCCUCGGUGUUGCCCUUUCCACCCUCUCAGAAGAUACACCUUCAAGUGGGACUCUUGUGCUGCUCACACCAUCCUCGGGGUGUUGGGUUGAAUAGUGGACUUAAAAGAACACUUGAAGGAGAUCCCUCUGUGGCAAACCAGGAUCAGAGACGUCUCUGGAGCACUGGGACAUAGGUUAGAUCCCUGGCCUGGCACAGUGGAUUAAGGAUCAGAUCAGGAUCUGGUCCCUGGUCAGGAAACUCCAUAUGCUGUGGGGCAGCCAAAAAAAAGAGAAAUAAAAAAAAAAAAGAAUGCUUGGGAAGAAUCCUGGACACAGGGCUUGGCUUGCCACCAUUGGUGUACCACGUGGGAAGCAAAGGCCCUGCUGGAGUGGAUCAGUGGGCCAACAAGGGAGGACCAAUCGCAUACAGAUCAAGGAAACAGCUGGAGACCUUCCUGAGCCUCCUUAUCUGACACUUCACCCCUGUGGAUGCCCUUGCAUACAUGAGCUCUGGCCUCACGUACUCUGGAAACCCAAAUGUGAGUCUCCUUUGUUUCCACAUCUCUGUCUUUGGAAGACCACCUCGUCUUACCGAUGGCCAACAUUCACCUUCCUCUUCUGAGAAGCAUUUUUCCAUUAUGUGUUCAUAAUGUUAAUGUCAAUAAAUGAAUGAGGAGUUCCCACCAUGGCUCAGUGGAAACGAAUCUGACUAGUAUCCGUGAGGACGCAGGUUUGAUCCCUGGCUUCACUCAGUGGGUUAAGGCUCCAGUGUUGCUGUGAACUGUGGUGUAGGUUGAAGACAUGGCUCGGACCUUGUGUUACUGUGGCUGUGGUGUAGGCCAGUGGCUAAAGCUCCUAUUUGACCCCUAGCCUGGAAACUUCCAUAUGCUGCACAUGUGACCCCACAAAGACAAUAAAUAAAUAAAUAAAUAAAUAAAAUUAAACAUAUAUAUGCACAUAUAAACAUUCAUAUAUACACAUAUAUAAUUGCAUUCCUUUGCUACUAAAAUCUAAUGCAACAUUGCAAAUCAACUAUGUUUCAAUUAAAAAAAAAAUAUAUGUCCUUAAAGAGAAAGGGAGGAAGCAUUUGUAGAGGGAAGGAGUAAUUCGUAUGACAAAUGCUGCUAGCAGAUCAAAGAGGACUGAAAAUUGACCGUGACAUUUACCAUGUGAAGGUAACAUCCAUUACCUUGACUCAGGCAACCACGUGAUGAAGGGGAAGUCUGACUUUAACGAUUUAAAGAGAGACAUGGAGGAGAGAAAAGGAGAACAGAACAUAUGUACCUCUCUUGAGGAGUUUUUCUGUAACAGGGAAGAAAGAAAUAGAACAGUAGCUGGAGGCGGGUGUGUUUUUAAACCAAUACUAUGGAGGCAUAUUUUAUAUACGAUGUAAUAUAAAAUAAAAUGCUUACAUUUUUAUGCUUCCUCACCCUCAAACCCAGGAAACCACUGAUCAGAUUUCCAUCACCAUUGACUUUGCCAGUCCUAGACGUAAUAUCAUGGAAUCAUAUAAUAUGCAAUCUUUUGUGUUUAGUUUCUUUCUCCGAGAUUUAUCUCUGUUAUAUUUAUUAGCAGAUCAUUUCUUUUUUUAUUGCUGACUUGUAUUCUGUUCAUGGACACACAUGACUCUACUAUCUGUUUGUUGAUGGGAUAUUGGAGUUGCUUAUGUAAAAAAUAUUUAUAAUGUGUAAAUGUGUAAAUGAGUAUACACAGAGAAACACAAAAUUUGUUUGUAUGUGUGGUGAUGAAUGUUAACUAGAUUUAUUUUGGUGAUUAUUUUGUAAUAUACACAAAUACAGAAUCAUAUUAUACAUCAGAAUGUUAAUUUCUUCAUAUUUUUAUAAUACAAAGAUAUUUCAUUGCAUUCUGCACAAUUUUAAGAUGAUUUAUAAACAUGUAAAUAUUAUAUAUUAGAUAAAUAAUAUAUCCUAUUUAUAUGAGUAUAAUUCAUUGUAUCAUUUGUGUAUAAAUAAUUUUCAUAUAAUUAUGCUGCUAUAUUAUAUACAUUUAAUCUUGUCUGGAUUAAAAUAGUUUCUUUGUGCAAGGAAAACCUUAUCUGAUCACUAGUUAUAUGUCAAGGAAUAUAAGGUGAACAUACACAAAAUAAUUAAAAUUUAUUUAUAAUCUGUUAGAUUCUAUGAUGAUAACAAAGUAAAAUCUGAUUGCAUGCAAGAGAAUUUUUUCCAUUUUUUCCACCUAAAUACAUCAGGCUAUUAUCUUUUCCUUUUUGUACAAAAGCUCAUAUUACCUGAGUGAGCCAAAGUAGAAAAACUACUGUAAUCAGUUAGAGAAAAACCAAGUGCCCUGAAUCUAAGGAUUAUGUAGUGGUAGAAAGAAUAUGAGAUUUUUGAGUGUGAAAAGCUAGACUGAGUUCUUGACCCACCACUUAUAAACUAUGUGUCCCUGGGCAAGACAGUCAACCAUCCCCCCAAAUCUCAGUUUUUCAUCUCUAAAAUAAAAGCAAUAACAGAAAUAAAAGAAGCACAUGUUAGAUGCUAAGCUAAUCCUAUAGAUGAGGAAACUGAGGCAUGAGAAGUUAAAUAAUUUGUCUGAGAACUCACAAGUAAGUGAUGAGACAAGGAUUCAAAAUCAGAGUCCAGAGCCCACAGUCUUAAUUAUUACAUGAUACUACCCUGCCAAAAUAAUAUAAUGUGAUAAAGUAGUUAAU